rnacentral:rRNA from 1 species
CCUUUGUACACACCGCCCGUCGCUACUACCGAUUGAAUGGCUCAGUGAGGCUUUCGGACUGGCCUAGAGAGGUCGGCAACGACCACUCAUGGCCGGAAAGUUAUCCAAACUCGGUCAUUUAGAGG